GUCGGCGCGGCCGGCGGCGGGGGCGCGCGCGGGGCCGGGCCUGGCUGCUCGGGCGCGCGCCGCGGGGCCCGCCCCGUCCCCGUCCUGCCCGCAGGCGCCGGACCCCGCAGUCGGCCUCGGCGGGCGCACCCAGCGAGUCACCACUUAAAGGAGACAGCAUAAGGAAUUCAUCUUAUUACCAAUGGCAUUUCAAUAUUUAUGAAAUUUGAAAAUUGUAGCUGCAGUUCUGAUUCAUGGAUCGUCAAAGAAAGCAGAGAACAUAGGCUCUUCAAAAGGGGCAGGUUUGGGCAGAUUUGAAGACUGAUACUAAAACAGGAGCUGAAAAUAUAAUGGUGAACAAAACAUUUUGUUCCUGCUCUCACAGAACUUAAGGUUUAGUGAGGAAGAUAAAACCAAACAAGCAAGUAACAGAAGACCUGUCUGAGAUGUGGUGGUUUCAGCAAGGCCUCAGUUUCCUGCCCUCCGCCCUUGUCAUUUGGACGGCUGCUGCUUUCAUAUUUUCGUACAUUACUGCCAUCAUUCUCCACCAUGUUGACCCUGCGUUGCCUUAUAUCAGUGACACUGGUACCAUCGCUCCAGAAAAGUGCCUGUUUGGGGCAAUGUUAAAUUUCGCCGCAGUUUUAUGCGUUGCUACCAUUUAUGUUCGUUAUAAGCAAGUUCAGGCUCUGAAUCCCGAAGGGAAAUAUACCUCCAAGUUAAACAAGGCUGGCUUCGUACUUGGAUUGCUGAGUUGUUUAGGACUUUCUUUUGUGGCAAAUUUCCAGAAAACAACCUUUUUUGCCGUGCAUAUAUGUGGAGCUGUUCUCACCUUUGGUAUGGGCUCAUUGUAUAUGUUUGUCCAGACCGCCCUUUCCUACCUAAUGCAGCCCAAAAUUCAUGGCAAACAGAUCUUCUGGGUCAGACUACUGCUGGUCAUCUGGUGUGGAGUGAGCGCAUUUAGCAUGCUGACGUGCUCCUCACUCCUGUACAGUGGCCAUUUUGGCUCAGAUAUAGUACAGAAGCUCCACUGGAACCCCGAGGACAAAGGCUAUGUGCUUCACAUGAUUACUACCGCAGCAGAAUGGUCUAUGUCGUUUUCCUUCUUUGGUUUUUUCCUGACUUAUAUCCGUGAUUUUCAGAAAAUUUCUUUGCGAGUGGAAACCAAUUUACAUGGAUUAACCCUCUAUGACACUGUUCCUUGUCCUAUUAACAACGAGCAAACACACCUACUUUCCAGAGAUGUAUGAUGAAAAGAUGAAACAUGCGAUGAUUAUGAUUCUCAGGGAUUGGGAACACAUUCAUAAGUUACUACUACUGAUCUGAAAUUUUCCACCAAUUAAAGCUGACAGUGACAUUGAUGGGUCCUGAUAACCAAGAAUCAUGAAGUAAGCCAAUUUAUAAAUUAUUUCAAGGGAUAUAUUCAAGUGGAUCAUGUAAAACCAUUUCUGCCUAUACUUUUUUUACUCACAGGAAAUAAAACCAAAGGACAAUAGCACUAGAUUUUUUUUCUACUUUAUUGAAGUGAAACACCAGAAGUGCACUGAACCAUCUGCAGAAUCCAGCAUUUCACGUUUUAGAAAUUAUUGUAAAGCAUGUUUUGUUUGGAGCACUUACUCAAGUCAUUUUCCAGGACACCAAGUAAUUAGCAUUGCUCAGCAGCUCCUUUCAAAUUGGGUUUUGCAGUAAUAGUUUUACCAUAUUAAUACAUUUCUUAUAGUCUUUUAAAAAAAAAUUUUCUGGAAUUCACCAAUAAAGGGAAGCAGACCUGAAUUCAUAUACCAUCUGUGGUUAGUUAGUUUUAGUGGUAUUGAAUUGAUGCCUGCCACAAAGCCAGAUAUUAUGCUAACUGGUCUGUCACACAUGGUUAUAAUAAUUUCAUGAAACUUAGUCUCUGAUAAGAGAUUUUAACUAAAACAGAGAAGCAGCUAUAGUUAAAUUUAUGCCAAUCAUGUUUUGCAUAAAACGAAGGUUAGUGUUCAUUCAUGAAUCUGAGGACUUUGUGAAUAACAGCAGAUAUCAUUAAUAAUAGUUACCUUAAACUACAGUCAAGAACUUUUUAUAGAUUUUUUCUUUAUAGCAAAUUAUAAUUACUUGUAAAAGUAGCCUUGAGCAGGCAAAUAUUGAAGCUUUUUACUGGGCUGUGAUGUUUGUAGAAGUCAGAUUCUAAAGGACAAAAUGAGCAACUUGAAAAAACUAGGUACAAAAUAAUUAUGAUACAUACAUCUCUCUGGUCAUGGCACGUGAUUGGAUAGCUUGUACCAAAAUUUCUACCUAUGUAGAUAAAGAAUGAUUUACAGCCCAGCUGGUGUAGCUCAGUGGUUGAGGGUCAACCUAUGAACCAGGAGGUCCCAUUUCUAGUCCUGGUUCGAUUCCCUGUCAGGGCACAUGCACAGGUUGCAGGCUUGAUCCUCAGUGUGAGGCGUGCAGGAGGCAGCCAAUCAAUGAUUCUCAUCACUGAUGUUUCUAUCUCUCCUGCUCCCCGUCCCUUCCUCUCUGAAAUCAGUAAAAAUGUAUUUAAAAGUAAAAAAGAAUGAUAUACAGAUUCCAGAUGAAAUUUAGAAGGAGAAAAUGCUCACCUGGAAGAUGACCAUGACAAACUGAUUUGCAAAAGAAUCCUUGAAGAAGAUUAACAAGCUUUAUCUUUUUAGAGGAAAUGGGUCCACUGCCAGAAUAAAAGAUGUGCGACCACACCUGGAAUACAGCAUCCAGUCCUGAUUGUUCUAUAUCAAGGAAACUAUAAUUCAGUUAUGAAGACCACAGUAUGGUGAGGGGGAAAUUGAUUGAAUUAAGUUUAUAAAAUUAUAAAUUAUGUGUGGAUAAGGUGGCACAGGGGAAGAUGUGGACGUGUACGUCCAUACUGGAAUAUCAGGCUUAGAGAUAUACAUAACACAUUAAAUAAAGUAUUGUAAAAUAAAAAUAUUAGUUUGA